GAAAUGCGAUAAGUAAUGUGAAUUGCAGAAUUCAGUGAACCAUCGAAUCUUUGAACGCACAUUGCGCCCAGCAGUAAUCUGCUGGGCAUGCCUGUCCGAGCGUCAUUUCUGCCCUCGAGCACGGUAGCCUUUCGGGGCUGCCGCCGCCCGGUGUUGGGGCGCUACGGGGAGCCUCGCGCUAUCCCCCGUAGGCCCCGAAAUGAAGUGGCGGUCCCGCCGCGGCGCCCUCUGCGUAGUAGUCUUAACAGCUCGCAUUGGGACCCGGUGGAGGCCAGCCGUCAAACCAAUCUUACAAGUUUGACCUCGGAUCAGGUAGGGUUACCCGCUGAACUUAA
rnacentral:misc_RNA from 1 species